rnacentral:rRNA from 1 species
GACGAACGCUGGCGGCGUGCCUAAUACAUGCAAGUCGAACGCACAGUUUAUACCGUAGCUUGCUACACCAUAGACUGUGAGUUGCGAACGGGUGAGUAACGCGUAGGUAACCUGCCUGGUAGCGGGGGAUAACUAUUGGAAACGAUAGCUAAUACCGCAUAAUAUUAAUUAUUGCAUGAUAAUUAAUUGAAAGGUGCAAUUGCACCACUACCAGAUGGACCUGCGUUGUAUUAGCUAGUAGGUGAGGUAACGGCUCACCUAGGCGACGAUACAUAGCCGACCUGAGAGGGUGAUCGGCCACACUGGGACUGAGACACGGCCCAGACUCCUACGGGAGGCAGCAGUAGGGAAUCUUCGGCAAUGGACGAAAGUCUGACCGAGCAACGCCGCGUGAGUGAAGAAGGGUGUCGGAUCGUAAAGCUCGGUUGUAAGAGAAGAACGGGUGUGAGAGUGGAAAGUUCACACUGUGACGGUAUCUUACCAGAAAGGGACGGCUAACUACGUG